rnacentral:rRNA from 1 species
UGGGGAAUAUUGGACAAUGGGGGGAACCCUGAUCCAGCCAUGCCGCGUGUGUGAAGAAGGCCUUAUGGUUGUAAAGCACUUUAAGCGAGGAGGAGGGUACUGGUAUUAAUACUACCAGGUACUGGACGUUACUCGCAGAAUAAGCACCGGCUAACUCUGUGCCAGCAGCCGCGGUAAUACAGAGGGUGCGAGCGUUAAUCGGAUUUACUGGGCGUAAAGCGUGCGUAGGCGGCUAAUUGAGUCGGAUGUGAAAUCCCCGACCUUAACUUGGGAAUUGCAUUCGAUACUGGUUAGCUAGAGUGUGGGAGAGGAUGGUAGAAUUCCAGGUGUAGCGGUGAAAUGCGUAGAGAUCUGGAGGAAUACCGAUGGCGAAGGCAGCCAUCUGGCCUAACACUGACGCUGAGGUACGAAAGCAUGGGGAGCAAACAGG